CGACCUGGGAAAACGGAGUAUCUGGGGGCGUGGCCACGUAAUAGGGGACCGGGCCCGGGGCGUCAAGGUCCUCGUGCUUCUCUUCUCCUCUCCCAGGGCGGGAAAGGGGCUCCAGCGUUCCCUUGCCAUGUGACGUGGAGUAGUGGAGGAGGUGACCCGAAGCCUACCUGCAAGAGCUUUUUCGUAUCUCUUAAUAUACCUUAGAAUUCUUGAGCUCUGACAGCUGUGGACACACCACAUCAGUCCACCCUGGUCAUAAUAAACCUAGGCAUUCCUUUCGACCUGAUACCAAUUGUUCAGUAGCUGGUUUUCAUUAGGUGGGCUUUGCAGAAGCCAGUCUUUCUAGAAAUGAAGCGUAAUCUGAACACUAAGAGUCCCAGCCCAAUGAGCUACACCAGCUUGUGUUAGGGCAUUUCAAACUGGAACCAGCGAUCCACAGGGCUGGAGAGACCUAGGAUCCUUUUGUUGGUGUUGAAUCAGGUAAGAAAACGCACCCAAGUGCAGUCAGGUUUGGACAGUGAACCCUGAAGUACCAGUGACUUGAUAGUAACAUAAACUGCCUGAAGUCUUUGAGAUUUUCUUCCCAGAUUUGGGGACAAGAAGUCUAUCUGUGUUCUCAACUCUGCCACCCGCCAAACGGAGACAAUAAACCAUGCCUAAGCUUUACUUGAUGGCUGCACAGCAGGUGGAAACCAAGAAGCCUGAGACUUGGAAGAAUGACUCAGAAAACUCACCUUAGAACCGUCUCUUCCUGGGGCACCUGGUGGGCCCUACAAGGCAAAGGGACCUAGUUUAACACAAGGAACACACUUUCCCAGUAAGCGGACAGUAAGUGGACUCUGAUGAGAUACUGACCACAGGGCCCCUCCGGCCUUGCUUAAUGUGGGACAGAUCAGGAGACG